rnacentral:rRNA from 1 species
UACGUAGGGUGCGAGCGUUGUCCGGAAUUAUUGGGCGUAAAGAGCUCGUAGGCGGCCUGUCGCGUCGGAUGUGAAAAUCCAAGGCUCAACCUUGGACCUGCAUUCGAUACGGGCAGGCUAGAGUUCGGUAGGGGAGACUGGAAUUCCUGGUGUAGCGGUGAAAUGCGCAGAUAUCAGGAGGAACACCGGUGGCGAAGGCGGGUCUCUGGGCCGAUACUGACGCUGAGGAGCGAAAGCGUGGGGAGCGAACAGG